rnacentral:rRNA from 1 species
AUACGCUGCGAUAAGCUACGGGGAGGUGCGAAUACCCUUUGAUCCGUAGAUUUCCGAAUGGGGAAACCCACCUAAGGUACUUGGAAAAUCAGAGCUGCAGGGAAGCGUGAUCUCUUUGAGGUCGCGCCGGCUUGCAGCUGUGGUUUCCAAGUAUCGAUAAUAGGUAACUUAUCCUGAAUACAUAGGGAUAAAGUGGCGAACGCGGGGAACUGAAACAUCUAAGUACCCGUAGGAAAGGACAUCAACCGAGACUCCGGAAGUAGUGGCGAGCGAACCCGGACCAGGCCAGUGGCGAUUGAGAGACAAGCGGAACCUUCUGGAAAGUAGGGCCAUAGUGGGUGACAGCCCCGUACGCGUAAUGCGAUCAAUCGUCCUCGAGUAAGGCGGGACACGUGAAAUCCUGUCUGAAAUUGGGAGGACCACCUUCCAAGCCUAAGUACUCGUGCAUGACCGAUAGC